AAAGAGGAACAAACCCCAUCCUGAAUAACACAGUAGGCUGAUGCAUUGGAUGCUCAAGUGAAAGGGAAGCAAGAGUAAUUCCACCAGUUCCACAUGUCAGAAUUGAGAUGACUUACCAGAUACUCCAUUCAACAGUGCCCUGAGCCCGCAUUGCAAAACAGUUCUGAAUAAGCCCGUACGUGUCCUGCUUCCUGCGUUAUCUGCUGAAUCACAAAGAAGCCACCCUCACAACGGCGUUCCCAAACAGUGAUGGAAACUCUGGAGACUCAGGGCAGCAUUGCUCAUUACCUGAUCCUGAUCACUGCUGGAUUUCUCCCAGCUGAUUUAUGGCCUGGAAAGGCUCAGGGAUGGCCUUGGACAGCCCACACCUCAAAG